rnacentral:lncRNA from 1 species
CUGGAAUAAGAAUGAAUGGCUUAUCGUAAGCCUCGUAAGACAUUGUCUAAGAAUUUGCACAAUCAGUGUUCUUGUUUGGCUAACUUAUGUGGAAAAGGAACUUACUGAAACAAUACUUCAUCAUUCACAGAAUCAAAUUGGAGGCUUGGAAAAAGUAUGGCAACAAAGCAAGGCAGCAGGAAAUCCAGUCAUGCUAAUGACAUGAGGAGUUUGAAAUGGCCAUGUGGCAGCCUCAGCUUCCAGUUCUUUGAAACCAUUGAAAUGAAAACUUGUCCUGGCCCCUGAACGUAUUGCCAGCUGUCAUCCCUGCUUCUAUGAUGCAUGUGUAGGGCGGAGAUUCAGCUAAAUGGAGCAUCUAUGGCAAGAAGCUUCAAGGUGAGCAUGAAGAAAAUAGAGUAAGUUCUCAUGUCCUACUCAUGGAUUUCUCAUCCAGCCUUCCAGCUGGAGCACAGCACGCAGUUGCUGAGUUGAUCCUGACAGCAUGUCCUCUCAAGGACUGAGAUUGUCGGUGACUUUUUCUGUGUGUGAUGAAUCAUGAGGUGUCUUAGCAGAAGUGAGAAGAUUGGAAUAGGCUAAUUAGCUUCUGAAAGUUAAAAAUUGAUGUGGUAGAAGAAAAAUAAUAAUUAUUUUUGCUUAACCUCUAUUUUCCAUAUCAAAAUAAGAUACACUAAGUGACAGAAACUUUGCUUUUAAAGACAAGUAAGGACGCAAGAAAGAUGUCUGCUCUGAAUUCAUCAUUCACAUGGCUAACUUUCUUCCUUCUUUUGGGUCUUUGCUGAAAUGUCAUUUUAUCCCAGAGGACAUCUCUGAGCACCAUGUGUAAAAUGGCAACAUCCCCUAAUACUAAACACCCCAACCCCCUUGCUCUCCUUUAUUGAUCCCUAUGCCCCAUCAGGAAUGGGA